rnacentral:sRNA from 1 species
GCCGGGCGUGGUGGUGUGCGCCUGUAAUCCCAGCUACUUGGGAGGCUGAGACAUGAGAAUUGCUUGAACCUGGGAGGCUGAGGUUGCAGUGAGCUAAGAUCCCACCACUGUAUUCCAGCCUGGGUGACAGAGCAAGACUCUGCCUCAA